rnacentral:rRNA from 1 species
AUUGAAGCUUGCUUCAAUUGAUGGCGACCGGCGCACGGGUGAGUAACGCGUAUCCAACCUUCCGUACACUCAGGGAUAGUCCUUUACGAAAGAAAGAUUAAUACCUGAUGGAAUGAGUGGGAUUGCAUGAUAGCAUCUAAUUAAAGUAUUUAGUCGGUGUACGAGUGGGGAUGCGUUCCAUUAGAUAGUAGGCGGGGUAACGGCCCACCUAGUCGACGAUGGAUAGGGGUUCUGAGAGGAAGGUCCCCCACAUUGGAACUGAGACACGGUCCAAACUCC